UCUUCGAUGCUGAACUUGUCGGUUCACCAAAUUGCCUAGUAUUAACCCAUUGCAAGACAGAAGGCGAAACACCCAAUACUGAACCACCAGCUAAUGAACCACCAGCGAAGAUAAGAAAACGCACCAGUCAUACCAAACACAAACCGGAGACCAGAGCAAAACUCGACCUAUAUCAGAAAGUGAAAGAUGCUAGGAAAUCGAAGGAAGAUGUGAACAGGACUGAUACAGAAAUAAAGCUCAUGGAACAAUUUGUAACAGAUAUCAACGACUUGGAUGAUUGCGUCGCCAUAGAUGAACUCACUAUUCGGUGUGGAAUAUGCCACCGAGAUGUCGCACUAAAUAAAGUGGGGCAAGAGGAUACUUCGUGAAAAGUCAUUAUACGGAUGCAGCCAACCCUGGAUAAGUACACAGUCAGGAAGGACGUGGUAGAGAAGAGCGCAGUUGAAGAAGAAGAAGAAAAGUAAAUGCUAUAUUCAUAUGCUAUAAUGUCCUGAAGGAUCCGAUAUAAGCCGGCUUUAAAAAAACCUUUUUCAGUAUUUAUUGGGUUUUAGUCGUUGUGUAAAAUUGACUUAAAGUAAAAUAAAGGAAAAUGUGGCAUUAAGACGGAUUUUGUUAUU